UACAGAGGGUGCGAACGUUGCUCGGAAUUACUGGGCGUAAAGCGUGUGUAGGCGGAUCGUUAAGUACCUUGUGAAAUCCCACGGCUCAACCGUGGAACUGCUGGGUAUACUGGCGAUCUUGAGCCACCUAGGGGCGAGCGGAACAAGCGGUGGAGCGGUGAAAUGCGUAGAUAUCGCUUGGAACGCCAAUGGUGAAAACAGCUCGCUGGGGGUGUGCUGACGCUGAGACACGAAAGCCAGGGGAGCGAACGGG
rnacentral:rRNA from 1 species